UUUAAUUAUAUUGUAGACUUUAUUUGUUGGAUAGAACGAUUAUCCAUAUAACGUAGCUAUCGUCCACGUUGGUCUCAAGUUACUGGAACAUUUUUUAUGGUUUUCAAUUGAUGUGUCAUGCUAUGUAUGUGCUUUUUUGACAAUUUUAGCAAGAGAAGAACUCAUAACUGAACAUGCUCUUGCGUGGAAUAAACGGAAAAUAUGUGAUCUGUCCAGCUCCCUCUGCAAGAGAUAUGCAAAGUAUAUAGAAGCUCAAGAAAAUACAAGGAAAGAACUUGAUGAAAUGGUUUCUGGCGUAAAUCUCUCCGAACCACGUUGAUUUCUUGCAGUGGAAGAGUGAAGUUCAACGUAUUGCAAAAGAAAUGGAAAGCUCCUUCUUCACGUAUUUAGCCGAAGAAGAGGAAUUGUACGUUUUGACCUCCUCUUUAACCGAUACCUCUUUAUUGACAUCAAAUGUAAACAUCUCGUGUGUUGAGACUGAAGACUAUCUUUCUGCCCUGUCAAAAAAGAUAAUUCAAAGAUACUCCACCGUUGAGGAUAAACGUAAAAGAGUUAAAUCACUGACUGCCAAGCUUUGUCGUGAUAUAACCGCCGAUGUACUGCUUGAUAGAGGAAAAAAGUUAUUUUUGGAAAGUGCCUUGAAGUGUCUUAAGAAUGAACUAGAAAUGUUGUCUUUUGCCAUAGUACAAAGGAAAGCAAGCGUUGUAAAAUUGGGAAGUAUGUUUUUACAUAUACACGUAUAUUACUACAUAAGAGGAGUGCAUUUGUUAGCAAGAAUCCAUACUGAAGUCAUUGCAAAUUUAAGGCAAAA